rnacentral:rRNA from 1 species
GUCUACGACCAUGCCACCCUGAACAGGCCCAAUUGCGUCUGAUCUUGGAAGCUAAGCAGGGUUGGGCCUGGUUAGUACUUGGAUGGGAGACCACCUAGGAAGAUCAGGUGCUAUAGGUG